rnacentral:rRNA from 1 species
UACGGAGGAUGCGAGCGUUAUCCGGAUUUAUUGGGUUUAAAGGGUGCGUAGGCGGGAUGCCAAGUCAGCGGUAAAAAUGCGGUGCUCAACCCCUUCCCGCCAUUGAAACUGGCGAUCUUGAGUGGAAGAGAAGUAUGCGGAAUGCGUGGUGUAGCGGUGAAAUGCAUAGAUAUCACGCAGAACCCCGAUUGCGAAGGCAGCAUGCCGGCUUCCUACUGACGCUGAAGCACGAAAGCGUGGGGAUCGAACAGG